ACCGUGUAUUAUGGUACCGCUCGAGCGAUUUCAGACUUUUGACCCAAAUGGUACGUCAUACGAUGACUCGACUUAUCGUCGAAGUGGAAGUUGAAAGAUCAAACGCAGUAAUGAUUGUUACUAAACCGUCAGGAAUUCAUGAUCGGAAUACGAGGCAAGGACAACUUUGGCAAUUUUUUCCAACGCAUUUCUGUAAUCAAGCCAAUUGCUUUAAUUCUUUCGGUGCCGUCAUAUACAGGUGUAAAGUUGUAUGAGAAUACGAAGCUGGAUAUACCAUUUUCUGUACUCAACAAGUUGUCGACAGAUCAAGAUAUUGAUGUUAGAAUUCAGGAUACCCAGGGUUUUGCUGAAGCACCGACAAUCAUGCAUUUCUUUUACGCUUAAACCUGGUGAAAACUUCACCGUAAAUUUCGUGAUCACAGGUGGAAUGUCAGGAGUAACAACAACAGUUACAAUCGCAGGCUAAACCAUAUCCCGGGCGUGGACGCGUUUCACAUGGACCAUCCGAAGUGAGGCAAUUCGCAGUGGAAAGACAUAUCACCAAUAUCUCUACAUCAACAACUACAAUUGCACCAGCAGCAAUUACUUUUACAUCAGACACUUUUACAACUCCUGGAGUAACGUCGUCCAGUUCAUUCUUAUCGACUGGUGUAAAAUCAACACUUUCCUCAAUUGUUGGAAUAACAACACCCAGCGCAACAUCAUCGACUAGUGUUAAAUCAAAAUCUUCAACAAAGGUUGCAGGUACCACGUCUAGCCCAGAACCUAGUUUUAAAUCAAACUAUCCUGUAAUUAAAAACUCAGCGAUAAACUGUAUUUUUCACAUUUCUACACAAAUAUAGUUAGAUUAAUGACGCAGUUUUUCGGCCUCCUGUAAUUUAUGUGUGUGUCAUUACCAGUCAUUAACAGACUCAGUAAAAACAAGUUUGCAUCUAAGUUUGUAGUCUAUGCCUUCAAAGGAUCUUCUGAUAGAUCGUUUUAGAUUUAAUAUAUCUUACCCGAUAAUACAAUCUCUUAAACGUAUUCUGGGUGAAAUGUCAAGUGUGUUUUAAUCAAAAUAUUUACAAUUAUAUUAAUAAAACAAUGGUAAUGUCUAAACUUCUGAAAUAAGGAAUUCGUUUUAACUACUUGAGAAGGAAUAAUCUUGCUUCCAGAUUCCAGAUAAAAAGUUGAGAGUUUAUUAAAAUGUUUAAUCAAAAUUAAACAAUUGUAAUCUUUCGGUAUGAACAUGGAUAUUUCAAAGUAAAAACAAACUGGAACAAUUUAAGAGACAAAAGAUGUAUUAAAGGCAGAUACUAGAA
rnacentral:lncRNA from 1 species